rnacentral:rRNA from 1 species
GACGAACGCUGGCGGCAGGCCUAACACAUGCAAGUCGAGCGGAGCGGCGGACGGGUGAGUAAUGCCUAGGAAUCUGCCUGGUAGUGGGGGAUAACGUCCGGAAACGGGCGCUAAUACCGCAUACUUCAGAUUGCGCCUAGGUCGGAUGAGCUAGUUGGUGGGUUAAAGGCCUACAAGGGCGACGAUCCGUAACUGGUUUGAGAGGAUGAUCAGUCACACUGGAACUGAGACACGGUCCAGACUCCUACGGGAGGCAGCAGUGGGGAAUAUUGGACAAUGGGCGAAAGCCUGAUCCAGCCAUGCCGCGUGUGUGAAGAAGGUCUUCGGAUUGUAAAGCACUUUAAGUUGGGAGGCGUUACCAACAGAAUAAGCACCGGCUAACUUCGUGCCAGCAGCCGCGGUAAUUC